rnacentral:rRNA from 1 species
GACGAACGCUGGCGGCGUGCUUAACACAUGCAAGUCGAACGGAAAGGCCCUGCUUGCCGGGUACUCGAGUGGCGAACGGGUGAGUAACACGUGGGUGAUCUGCCCUGCACUUCGGGAUAAGCCUGGGAAACUGGGUCUAAUACCGGAUAGGAGCCAUUUUUAGUGUGAUGGUUGGAAAGUUUUUUCGGUGUAGGACGAGCUCGCGGCCUAUCAGCUUGUUGGUGGGGUAAUGGCCUACCAAGGCGGCGACGGGUAGCCGGCCUGAGAGGGUGGACGGCCACAUUGGGACUGAGAUACGGCCCAGACUCCUACGGGAGGCAGCAGUGGGGAAUAUUGCACAAUGGGCGCAAGCCUGAUGCAGCGACGCCGCGUGGGGGAUGACGGCCUUCGGGUUGUAAACUCCUUUCGCUAGGGACGAAGCUUUUUGUGACGGUACCUAGAUAAGAAGCACCGGCUAACUACGUG